rnacentral:rRNA from 1 species
UCCUACGGGGGGCAGCAGUGGGGGAUAUUGCACAAUGGGGGAAACCCUGAUGCAGCGACGCCGCGUGAGUGAAGAAGUAUUUCGGUACGUAAAGCUCUAUCAGCAGGGAAGAAUAAUGACGGUACCUGACUAAGAAGCCCCGGCUAACUACGUGCCAGCAGCAGCGGUAAUACGUAGGGGGCAAGCGUUAUCCGGAUUUACUGGGUGUAAAGGGAGCGUAGACGGCGGUGCAAGUCUGAAGUGAAAUGCCGCGGCGCAACACCGGAUCUGCU